AUCUACGGCCACACCACCCUGAAUGUGCCUGAUCUCAUCUGAUCUCAGAAGCUAAGCAGGGUCGGGCCUGGUUAGCACUUGGAUGGGAGAGAGAGAAGGAACCAUUAUAGAGA
rnacentral:rRNA from 1 species